UAGGUCAUUUCAGCGACACCAAUCAUCCUCAUUGAGUUUGUAUCCUGUAUCAAGCAUUUAUCAUUAUCAAACAUUAGUUGACAUUUCAAAAUUUUAGUAAGCUUUGGAACAGAAAUAAGAUUGAAUGUGAACUCAGGAAAAUAUAGGACAUCAGUUAAGUAAAAAUCUUUAUCAAACAAGAUAGUGCCAGCAAAAUUAGUAGACACAAUGGUACCAUUUGGUAAUGUGAUGUUAAUGGGAUUAAUUCUUUUCAUGCACUGAAAGAAGUGUUUAGAGUAACAUAUAGGAUCUGUUGCUCCUGUAUCUAAGAUAAAAGUUUCUGACUUAGGUAAAUUUGGGAGAGUACACAAAAUACCUGAACUGGAGGAGGGUUGUGAGGUUAUGUGAUUCACACUACGAGAUUGCAAUGUGCUAGAAUGUUGUAAAAGUGCUAACAAGGCCUUGUGUUGAUCUGGUGUGAAGAAUAGUUUCCCAGAAUCAGUAUCUCCUACUUCAUCAUCAUAGGCUAUUGAUUUAGCUUCAUCUUCAUUGGUAGUAGCACAAUUAUUCACCAUUCCAUUGUGUUGCAUAUGAGGUGGAAAUCCAUGGUUCUUGAAACAAUUCUCAACUAUGUGAUUAGUCAUGCCACAGUAAGUGCAGUAUUUUGAAUUUGAAUUCCUACCACGACCUCUUCCACCAUUGGUUCUACCUCCUCUACCACGAUUGGAUUGUGAUCUACCAGCAUAUUGAGAUGUGGUGGAUGCCAAGAUCUUGG
rnacentral:lncRNA from 1 species